ensembl:lncRNA
CCUCGCAGCCGCUGCAUCCCCCCCACGCCGGGUACCACACCCCCGCAUCCUCCAUCUCCCGCAUCCUCCGUCCCUCCUCACAUCCCCCGCAUCCCUCCACGCCCUCCGCAUCCCCGCACCCCACGCAUCCCUCCCUACCCCGUAUCCUCACUCCCCCCCCCGAUCGCAGCUCCCCCCCCCGUUCCGCAGCCCAAUCAGGGCCGCUCGGAGGAAUUCAAACCCCGGCCCCGCAAGCGCCGGCGGCGGCUCCGCUCCGCUCCCGGGCCGGGCAGGCUGCGCCGUGGAGAGGCGGCGGGGCCGGUCCGGAUGGGCUCGGGGAGCGGCGGAGCGGGCGCGGCCCCUGCCCGCCGCCCGGAGCGCAGGAGCUCUGGGCUCGCCCAGGAGCCGAUCCCGAGGGGUUGCCCAUGGAAUAGGCGCUUUUCCAGGUGCCUGGGCACACGAGAGGCUGAAGUUGGUCGCCCCGGGGCACCCGAACCUGCCCUGCCCUGGAGCCCCCGGCCUCUGCCAUGAAUGAUGCAUCCACCAUGGAUUAUGAACUGCUCUCCCCGUCCCUGGUGGAGCACCCCGCCGGCGCCGCGGGCAUGGAUGCCGAGCAGAAAACUGUCUUUGCCUUCGUCAUCUUCCUCCUGGUGUUCCUGGUGAUGCUGAUGGUGCGCUGCUUCCGCAUCCUGCUGGACCCCUACAGCCGCAUGCCCGCCUCCUCCUGGACGGACCACAAGGAGGGCUUGGAGCGGGGCCAGUUCGACUACGCCCUGGUGUGAGGGGAGCCCGGGCCGAGCUCCGGCCCCGCUCCCCCUCCAUCCCUCCCUCCUUCCCUCCCUCCCUCCGCAGGGAUGCUCCGGGCAGGGGGGCAAGCAGGGGGUCCGGCCCCGGGGAGGUUUUCUAGGGGUUUCUCUCUUUUCUAAGCACUUUUCAGUUCUCUCGGCAGCCCGCGGGACGCUGGGGGUUGGACGGGGGGCCUGGACGGGGACCCCGCUGCCCCCCGUGCCCCCGGGCACCGCGGACGGGGCAUGGCGGGACCUGCCCUCGGCCCGCGGGGCCCCUGGGCUGGGCUCUGCCCGGUGCCAGGCCCGAGCUUUGACCCCCGUGCCCCCGCUGCCCCCCGUGCCCCCGGCAGUGCCCCCGUGGUCAGUGCGUGUCUGUGUGUCCUGUAGCUGAGCUGUGUCCCUCAGGGGUUUCUCGGCACCGGCCCCCAGUGCUGGCUUUGUUCCCCCUCUGUGCCACUCCCGAGCCCCCCAAAAGGGAGGGGAGGGUGGAGACCCCCCCUGUGCAGCCCCCCUUGGCCUCCGGCCCUGUCCCUGCCCAGUUGGUGACACCGGGCUGGGCGAGGGGCAGUCCUGGCCUGGGGACACCAGGACGGGUCAGGGGUCCCCAAAACACCCGGGAGAGGCUCCUGGGGCAUCUCUGCCGGGGUGUCCGGCCCUUCCCGGGCUCUCCCAGGGCUCUGGAAGUGGCCGAGGGGCUGCCAAGGGCCGUGGUGGGCAGCGGGAGGGCCCUGCCAAGGGAUUUGGGCCCGGGGGGGAGGGAGAACCUCGCCCCCCUCCAUGGACGUGAAGGGAUUUGGAAAUAAAGCCGCACCGUGCCGACCCCAGC